rnacentral:rRNA from 1 species
AUACGGAGGGUGCAGCGUUACUCGGAAUCACUGGGCGUAAAGCGCGCGCAGGCGGCUAUUUAAGUUGGAUGUGAAAGCCUACGGCUCAACCGUAGAACUGCAUCCAAAACUAUUUAGCUAGAGUGUGGGAGAGGAAGAUGGAAUUAGUUGUGUAGGGGUAAAAUCCGUAGAGAUAGCUAGGAAUACCAAAAGCGAAGGCAAUCUUCUGGAACACUACUGACGCUGAGGCGCGAAAGCGUGGGGAGCAAACAGGAUUAGAUACCCUAGUAGUCC